rnacentral:rRNA from 1 species
UACGUAGGGUCCGAGCGUUGUCCGGAAUUAUUGGGCGUAAAGGGCUCGUAGGCGGUUUGUCGCGUUGUCCGUGAAAACUCACAACUCAAUUGUGGGCGUGCGGGCGAUACGGGCAGACUGGAGUACUGCAGGGGAGACUGGAAUUCCUGGUGUAGCGGUGGAAUGCGCAGAUAUCAGGAGGAACACCGGUGGCGAAGGCGGGUCUCUGGGCCACUACUGACGCUGAGAAGCGAAAGCAUGGGGAGCGAACAGG